GGUUUAAACGCCAUUAAAAAGUUGAAACCCGCCCUGGGGGGAAGUUUCGGGCCCGCCAUGGGUUUUAAAAACUUCAAAAGGGAAUUGGACGGGGGGCCCCGCACCAAAGCGGAUGGAGGCAAGGCGGGUUUAAUUUGAAGGCAGCGCGCAGAAUCUUUACUUGGGUUUUGGACAUCCCCUAGACAGCCUAUGAAAAGUUAAGUUUUCCACUUUCGGGGGCAGGGAGAACAGGUGGUGCAUGGCUGUCGUCAGCUCGCGUUCGUGAGAUGUUGGGUUAAGUUCCGUAACGAGCGCAACCCUUGUAUCUAGUUGCCAGUGUUAAGUCAGGCACUCUAGUUGGACUGCCCAGGUUAAAUGGGAGGAAAGGGGGAUGACGUCAAGUCUUCAUGGCCCUUUUGCCCAGGGCUACACACGUGCUACAAUGGCCGGUACAAAGGGGUGCAAUAUCGCGAGAGGGAGAUAAUCCCAAAAAGCCGGUAUCAGUUCGGAUUGGAGUCUGCAACUCGACUCCAUGAAGUUGGAAUCGCUAGUAAUCCCGGAUCAGCAUGCCGGGGUGAAUACGUUCCCGGGCCUUGUACACACCGAACGUCACACCACGAAAGCCUGUUUUCCAGAAGUGGCUGGGCCAACCCGCAAGGGAGGCAGGUUUCCUAACUAUGCCGGUAAUGGGGGAAGUCGUCACAAUGCCCUCCUUUUCUCUAGUGAUUCGCGGCCGCCCCACAAGGUUGCCGGAUCCC
rnacentral:rRNA from 1 species